rnacentral:lncRNA from 1 species
AAAUGUUAUUUUAUUUACUGACUUAAAAACUGAAAUCAAAACAAUAUCCUUGUCUUCUUUAAUGUAAUUAAUUCUUAAGACUCCCAAUUAGAGGUUGGAGAAGCUAUGAUAAAACAGUCCAUGCACAUUCUAGACAGAGUAUGUUACCAUGACAGCGUUGUUCUGCAGCUAAGGGUUAAGUGAUCAAGUAAAUGAGCAAAAAUAACAAAGCAUCUAGUCAAGAAGUUCUAAUAUGCCUUUUAUGGAACAGCUAAUAACCCCAGUUAUUGAAGUAGAGGGCACCGCAGUUGAA